CCAAAAAUGGUAUUUAACCCUUUUUAGAUACCCACUAAAUUUGAUAGGCCAAAUUUCUAAAGUGUGCUGUAUAUAUAUGAAAAUUGAUUUACUUUCAGUUAUUAAAAUUAAACUAUAAUAGCCAUAUUAAUUUAGACCCCCACUUAACUUAGAAGAUCCAUUAGGUGCCAGCAAUCGCGGUUAUACCUAACAUCUAUUAGAAAUUAAUUACUAAAACUGUAGAUAUAAUUUAAAUAGUUUAAUUUAUUGGUGAAAUAAAAUUUUUAACUUAGUACUUUAAUAAAUUAAUUGCCUUUUGAGCUGUCGAUAACUGCCUAAAAACAAGGAUUAGAUACCCUUUUAUUUUGUUAUUUACUACAAUUUUAGAGGAGUAUUGCAUCAAAAACUCAAAAAUUAUGGCGGCUAUUAAAAACUAUCAGGGGAACUUACCCUUUAAUUGAUAACCCCCAAGCUUAAAUAACUUUAGUUUGAUCGUCUGUAUGCCGUCGUUUUAAGCUAAAUUUAGUUUAGCUUGAUUAGUAAAAAAUCCAAAACAGAUCAAGGUGCAGCUUAUGCUGAAGAUUGGGCGAGUUACAGUAAUAAUAUAUUAUCGGACUUAUAUAACAAUUAUAUAAUAAAGAUGGACUUGUAAGUAACAACCAAUUUAUUAAUAAGUUGUGAAUGACUGUUUAAUAGUGC
rnacentral:rRNA from 1 species